rnacentral:lncRNA from 1 species
UCGAGCAGGAGGCAGUUACGAAUCUAACUUCCUUGGCUUGCUCUACACGAGAAUCGCGCUCAUAGUCACAGCCCGGCCAGCUCGUUUCUUUUCAAAUUUCUGAACGAAAUUCUCACAGAACAUCCGGCGUUUCAAAGAAACGUCCACUCAUUUGGUGCUCACUGCGCUUUGCAGACGACAGCUUCUUGCUCGGAGCUCGGAGAGUGUCGGCGAGUGACCACGCUCGGUGUGCGCUUAGUGCUCGGUCCCAUUUGGAUAUAUGGAUCUAUAAUUUUACUAUUGUCUAGAUUCCAAAUGCAAAGUGCCGGUGUUUAUUAUAGAGUGCCAAUCGAAUUGGCCGUUUAAGCAAAUGUGACUGUUUAGUAGUGAUGGUGUGUUAAAAGGUGGUUUCCGGGCUCAGGAGUGAUCGGCAGUUCCUGGGUGGUUAAGGAUCCGCAAUCGGAAAAUGCGGACGUAAAGCCGGAACGAUUGGUGUGCGUCCGGCGUGCCCAAAGCGGCGCACUCCGGGUGGCAUCGUCGUAGGCGCCCGCAGUGGCGUGCUGCGGGGAUGGCGCUAGCGGCCGGCAGGUGACGGGCGGCGUAGCGGCGGGGCGCAGGCGACUCAGUGGCGGACCCGCUGCUCGUCGCCGUUGCGGGCUAUGCUGGGCGCUGGUGACAAGCGCCCUGCGACGCGCCGUCUGCGGCGCAGGAAGCAGACGAUCCUCCGACGACUCCUACCAGGAGCUGCAGCCUGCGCAUCAUCCCGAGGAGGAGCAGGUGCCAACCGUAAGUCGCUGUACAGGGUGGGCCACUAAGAGAGGUGGUCGGCCGUAUCUCACAAACUAUUAGUCGCAUCGAUUUCAAGUAAA